UACGAAGGGGGCUAGCGUUGUUCGGAAUUACUGGGCGUAAAGCGCACGUAGGCGGAUAUUUAAGUCAGGGGUGAAAUCCCAGAGCUCAACUCUGGAACUGCCUUUGAUACUGGGUAUCUUGAGUAUGGAAGAGGUAAGUGGAAUUCCGAGUGUAGAGGUGAAAUUCGUAGAUAUUCGGAGGAACACCGGUGACGAAGGCGGGUCUCUGGGCAUCUCCUGACGCUGAGGCGCGAAAGCGUGGGGAGCAAACGGG
rnacentral:rRNA from 1 species